CAUGUUGACAUCAUGAGAUGGAAGAUUAUGCAUACAGAACAUUGAUGGAGAUGUUUUCAGAUUUGGAGCAUGUAGGGCGUGUUGUGUCUCAGUGGCAACGAUCGAAACCGUACAAAGAUGCAUACAGAUUGUAGAUGGACGCGUUUUCAGACUUUGAGCAUGUCGGGGUUACCAUGAAAACGUACCUCCAGACAGAAGCAAUGGUAUAAUGGGUGACAGACAUUUAAAUGAACAAAGUUAUAUAGCAGAUUUUGGACAGUAUGGGUAACCGUGGAAACGCACCUCUACAUCUAGGCAAUAGUAAAAUGGAUGGCCGACAUACAGAUGUACCGAGUUAUACAGAAGAUUUUGCAGUCUAUAGGAUUUUUCCAAAAUGGUCGCUGAUGAUGAAUACAAGCCCAUGUGAAGAUAUCAUGUUGUAGAUUUCACAAUGGUUUAGUGGACGGUGCAGCUAUGGUAACUCGUGUUGACUAUACAAGAACGUGCAAGGAUGUCAUGUUGUAGAUUUCACAAUGGUUUAGUGGAUGACCAAUGGCUUGAUUCUUUUUCUCGGGCGCAAUGGGAGCCACUCAAGAAUUACGGGAAUGCGCAUACAGUUUCUAGCUUUGGUGAUUGUAAAACUCGACGUAUUUGGUGAGAAACUCAAACUAUCCGACGAAGGACACGAACUGUCCGACGAGAAGCAGUUUACUGGAACAAACACGACUGCUUUGCUGAUGCCGCAAAAAUGCCGAUAGUCAGAGUUGCAAUGGUACCCAGUCGAAGCUGGUCACCAGAGACGCGCUGGUACCCAAUCGAAGCUGGUCACAAGAGACGCGCUGGUACCCUAUCGAUGUCUGUGCCUGUCAUUAGAGGCGUGCUGGACCCAUUAUGUCAACAUAGUAAUCAACUCUUUUUCAACAAGCAUUGAUCGAUGACUUUCACUGGAACUCAAGGCUUGGCGGACAUGUCGUCUGUAUUUGUCCUGUCGUACUCAUGGUAGAGAUUUCUUCCACAUCUCCUGCACAAAACAGAACAGAAAAUCCUGAAUGUUCUUGAUGGCAGACGGAAACUUCACUCAGGUUUAAAAAGGCAAGAAGACAGUGUUUAACAUUAAAAAAGAAUCGAUGUCAGAAAACAAAUAUAGUCAUGCCGUCUUGUGCUUGUUGUUUCCAACAGCUGACAGUCCUACGCAUGUCAGACUGAUUUCAAACACACAAGUGAGAAAGAUCAGCAGAAGGAAGAACCAAGUUUGAAGAAUCCACGACAGAUAUAAGCAAGACACCACCACAGCCGCCCUGACACAAGCAUAUAGACAUGACACCACCACAGACGCCCUGACACAAGCAUAUUUAAACAAAUGGAAAUAAGCUGACAUGUGUAUAAUUAUAUCCGCAUGCACAAAGUAUAUGGGGCUAUAUUGGAGUCACGUAUGUCCACCAGUCCGUUCGUCCAUCCGUCCAUCGAGUCCGCUGGGAAGAUUUUCUUAUACUGACAGCAGUUAUUAACCACAUCAUGACGGUGUGCAGAGCGCACACCCAUGCUACUAGGUCAAAAGUUAAGGUUAAUCUUGGAGGUGAAAAGUCAGAUAGUUUAACUUCAUGUCCGCUCCAUAUUGUCUAAAUGACUUAAGAGAAACUUAGCUCGACUAUUCGAAGAAUAAACAGGAUUAGUGUACUUGCUCUUACGUUGGCGUCACUGUCACCUAUGCAUUCGAGUUAAAAUGUGUCACUGUUAUUCUUUACUCAUCACACUUUACAGAAGUGUUGGUAUUGGUAAGGGUCAGACAUUUAUUAGUUUAGAGUACUGGUAUCCUGAACGUCAAGGUCACUGGUUUAUACAUUAUAACAAUAUUGGUUAAAGUUUAAUGACAAUCUUCUCAAGUUUUACUAUAUCUUCUUACUACUAUCCUAUAAUUACCAAACCUUACACAAGUAUUGAUCUUGGGAAGGGGCAAAAGUCAUUAGCUUUAGGAUCAGGUAGAUCUAUGUCAAAGGUCAAAGGCACUGGGGUCAGAUUUAUAAUUAUAUUGGUUACAGUUUUAUGGCACAAUUUGACUUAUAACUCAUACUGUUUCUUUGCACAGGUAUCCCUUACAUCCCACACUUAUAAGCACUGUCAACACUUUCUUUACCCCAGUCCCCACACCUACCCGAAAAUAUGUUCCUUACACAAACAUUUCAUAUUCCCCACAUCUCCGUUACUCACCUGUCUCCACCUACUUCUACCAACCCCAUUUCACCGCCUCACGCUCCAAACAAAGAUUUAUUUUACAUUUUCUUAAUUAACUAGCUUGUAAAUUUGAUUGUAUAUCUUGUUUAUAUUAUGUUUAAGUAUCCCUUAUUCCCACACUUCUACUUCCUACCCCAACACCUACACCCCCUCAACUCAGAUCUCAGGGGCAAGGUCACACUUGAAGGUCAAAGGUCAUGGUGACAAAAUUCUACAUUCCCUUUGUCAAAGCGACAUCUUGGGGUAUUAAUCACCUUCAGUGAUAGCUUUAAAUGCUUAGCGAUUGUAUCGUUUAUUUGAGAAGUGUUUGUUAACUAUUAGGAUAAAUAGUUCCAGUAAAACUGAGGAAAUUAUACGAUUUAAGAUCAAACUAUUUUCAGACGAAUCAAAUAUUUUUAGCUUGGUUUGUAUUGGUCUUGAAAUUAUGUAUCUUUAUCUUUAUUGCAUUAUUUUCAAAAAUACGUUUAUGAACACAAAAUUAACAUUUGAGUUUGAUCAAUAAAAUAUCUAGGGCAGCAAGUAUUUGAAAGAGACCAUACAUAACAAUACUAUAAGUUAUUUUUAAACUGGACAGGGAUAGUUUAAAAAAAAUGCUUGGAUCAGUUUACAAAAAUAAAAAUAUUGGGACCAAAGUUUUAACUUUGAUAUUUGUUAGUUUCAGUGUUAGAUCAAAAUACGGAAUCAUUCUAGACGCAACUCCUGAAAAUAUUAACUAACCGAUAGUGUUCACGCGUGAAAAUACCUCAGUUUUGUAUAUGAAUUAAAAAAUAUUUUCAUGCACAUUUAUCAGUGUAACGUCACAGGUAACGUUGUGCUUGCUGUUAUGGCAAUAAAUACUGUUGGAAAAAGUAACAUAGGUCUACGAGAUUGAUUUCUUUUUCAUUUUAAUAUAGUUAUUUUCUAUCCGAUCUAAUUUAUAUUCUUUCGCGUUAAAUUGAUGUUUCAUGCAAGUGAAAAUUGUAUUUGGAUUUCCCACUUCUAAAACAGUGAGUUUAUCAGGGUAUAAUGUAUCGUUAUGUUUCAGUUAUACUCUGAAAGCUUGACACAAAAUUCCAUACUGUAGUAAGUACAAAAUGUACAGAUAAAAUCAUUACUGUUUAUUCAAACACACAUUUUACCGUCUUUUGUCUAGGUCCAUCUAAAUGUAGCUUUUUAAAGUCAUUUUGGCCUCAUGUGUUGUACACUGAAUUUUACACUGUUUGGCAUAUGUAACUCUUAACCGCAUAACUCUUAACCGACACCUAACUCUUCAGCAUUAACAUUAACUCUUGGGACUGAAAUGACUUUUAAAGCAACUUUUGUCUUUUAUAGGAACAAUGGUUAAACUUCAGAUGCUUUUAGGAAUGAUGGGUAAAAAGAUGAAAUGAUCAAAUAUUUAGCAAAAUU
rnacentral:lncRNA from 1 species